rnacentral:lncRNA from 1 species
CGAUUGUUUUUACCUUUUGACAUAACAUAUAAAUGAAUUUCGUGUGUGUUCAAUGGCAUUUUGUCUUGUAAGAACAACUUGAACGAACUAGAAAUGUGUUUGUAGUAUUUACGUAUAAUGAAAGAAUUUGUCAGUUGACGAAACCAAUAACAAAAGUAAGAAGAUGAUAGCGGUAAUGACAAAAACAGGCGCGUUUCACAUGAUUUAUAAUGGUAA